rnacentral:rRNA from 1 species
UACGGAGGGAGCUAGCGUUGUUCGGAAUUACUGGGCGUAAAGCGCACGUAGGCGGCUUUGUAAGUUAGAGGUGAAAGCCCGGGGCUCAACCCCGGAAUUGCCUUUAAGACUGCAUCGCUUGAAUCCGGGAGAGGUGAGUGGAAUUCCGAGUGUAGAGGUGAAAUUCGUAGAUAUUCGGAAGAACACCAGUGGCGAAGGCGGCUCACUGGACCGGUAUUGACGCUGAGGUGCGAAAGGCCGUGGGGGGCAAACAGG